rnacentral:lncRNA from 1 species
AUUGAUUUGGUUCGUUCCAGAGUUUUCGGUAGGUAGAGCCAGAGCGUCUCGAGCCAACAGCAGCAGCAUAGCCGAGUGAAGAUGGCGGCUCAGAGAGUGAUGCUGUCAACGAGAGUUUGAGUUCACCUCUCCUUUUUAAACUUAUGAAACCUUCGCGGAUCCUUGCGGAUAGCUGUAUCAAAGAAAACUAUAUUGGUUGCUGCUCCGGACCAUUUGACAAUGGAAACUCAUGUUCUUCCAGAGCCUCUUCAUUUCACAGGUCACACUGUACCUCUGUCAUUGUGAGAAAUUCAGUCUCAGGUGGGUUUUCUACAUGUAUAUAGAAUUGUAUAUGUAUGUAGGAUUUGUCAAUUAAUGUUUAGCUGUUUCACAUGACUCUGAGCUCAAUGUACUUGCUUUACCUGUCUCUAGCAGAAUUAAUAGUUUUUAUAAAGAGCUGAGCAUUAAUCAUGCUUGUGUUUAGGAUUUUAUUUGGAUUGUGAAGCAUAUUGUUUUGUGAAAAUGUUGUGCAUAUAGACUAGGGG